GAGGGGGAAGAAGUCCAAGCUUGGUCGGGGCAUGAAGUGAAGUGCUCAAGAAGAUAUGUGUCAUGGAGAACCUUGGACAUCAAGCUGAGAAGCCUGGACUUUCAAAUGAGACUUCUCCUGCAUUCUCACUGAAUGGGUUCUAUAAAACCAGUCACCAGACAUGAGGGAAGAAAUUCAGCAUGCUGUAUGCUUUCAGAUUUCACCUCAAGGAAACCUGGGAAUUCCUGCACCCCCAAGACCAUAACAUGACGAAACUGGAAGUACAACGUGGAGGUCUACCUAAUCCAUCUUGGCUUGUUUUAAUGCAACUAAUAACAAUAAUACAUCACUAAAUGAAAUAUUCAGGACAAAUGCUAAAUUAGACAGAAUGUCAGACAAUGGGUAAAACCAGACCUCCCAGGCAAAUUGGGAUGCAGGUACAUUCACUCCCCCCAGUCAGCAUCUUUGUAUUCAGCACACCGCACCCUUCUCUUCAGUUACUUAUACUUUUCCCCUCUGUUUUGAUAUUUUGCAAAGUGGGCCUGAUAUGGUUUGGCUGUGUCCCCACCCAAAUCUCAUGUUGAAGUGUAACUCCACAGUUCUUACGUGUUGUGGGAGGAACCCGUGGGAGCUGAUGGAAUUAUGCAGGCCGGUCUUUCCUGCACUGUUCUCAUGAUAGCGAAUGAGUCUCACGAGAUCUGAUGGUUUUCAAAAUGGAGGUUUCUCUGCACAAGCUCUCUUUUUGCCUGCUGCCAUCCACCUAAGAUGUGAUUUGCUCCUCCUUGACUUUCACCAUGAUUGUGAGGCCUCCCCAGCCGUGUGGAACUGUAACUCCAAUAAACCUCUUUCUUUUGUAAAUUGUCCAGUCUUGGGUAUGUCUUUAUCAGCAGCACGAAAAUGGACUAAUAGAGGGCCCUUGAGAUCUAUUAGAGAUAUUCAAUAUUGCAAUUAUAUUUUAGGGCAAAUCUAAAACAAAAUUUAGCCAAAGCAUACCCUGGGUCAACUGGAUGACUUCAUUUGUAACCGACCAUUGAUGUGAUUUUAUUGCCUCUGUCUGCAGGUAUGUAUACCAAAUGAAAUUCCAAAAUGCCAACAUAUAACUUUUAAUGUAAUUUCCUGAAUCAGAGAUUGUGGAACUGUGGGAUACUGUAGAAGUAUCUUCAGGGGUCUAUGAAUAUUCUAGCUUUUGUAUUUUUGAAACUGCUCUAUUUUUAAACAUUUAUUUAGAAGUUCAAUUAAAUUUUAAACUUCACUGAGGCACAGGACCCUACCCCUAUUUUCAUUAUUUAUAUCUUUUACUACCAAAUUCCAUGUUUUCUAUUCAGGUUAUUCUUAGAAAAUAGUUACAGAAUAAGUAUCCCAAGA
rnacentral:lncRNA from 1 species